rnacentral:rRNA from 1 species
GACGAACGCUGGCGGCGUGCUUAACACAUGCAAGUCGAACGGAAAGACCCUGCUUUUGUGGGGUGCUCGAGUGGCGAACGGGUGAGUAACACGUGAGUAACCUGCCCUUGACUUUGGGAUAACUUCAGGAAACUGGGGCUAAUACCGGGUAGGAGCUCCUGCUGCAUGGGGGGGGUAGGAAAGAUUCGGCGGUUGGGGAUGGACUAGCGGCUUCUCAGCUGGUUGGUGGGGUAGUGGCUUCCCAAGGUUUUGACGGGUCGCCGGCCUGGGCGGGUUACCGGCCACAUUGGGACUGAGAUACGGACCAGACUGCUACGGGAGGCAGCGGUGGGGAAUAUUGCACAGUGGGCGGAAGCCUGAUGCAGCAACGCCGCGUGCGGGAUGACGGCCUUCGGGUUGUAAACCGCUUUCGCCUGUGCCGAAGCGUGCGUGACGGUAAUGGGUAAAGAAGCACCGGCUAACUACGUG